UGAGAGACAGAUGUGAGAACAGAGACCUUUUGUGUCAACAAGAAUUAGUUUGUUUCAGGAAAAUUUUGGCAGCUUUGGCAGGAACAAGAUAAAACUAUAGAACCAGUAAGUUUACUCUUUGUGUCAGGUGAUGCUUUCUUUAAAAUCUUGCCAGGAUAGCAUGAUGUUAGGUGUAUCUUUUGCUGUAGAAAGUUGGGCUUUGACUUUAAAUAAAUCUGUAAAUCUGUAUCUGUCUAUACUGGGUUAGACCAGAAUUGUGAAUUAUUUUAGGAAAGUUUUGGUCCCACAAGUGUUCCUUUCCUUGCCCCAUGGCCCAUUUCCAUGAAAUUCAGGGCUUUCUGUCUAAAGUCUUCCCAUUUCCUAGAAUCAUGUCAACCCUAAUCACUCCCAGGGUGGGCCGUUAUCAAGGCAUAUGGGUCUACAUCUAACUGGCUAAGAAAAAGAACUUCAGUCCAGACACUUUGCAGGCAGUGUAAAUUCAAGCUCACUGGCACUUUUAUUUUUGGGUUAACGCAGACAGUAAAAAGCUGCGAAUUUAGGUCACAUUGCUUUGCUUUUGCUGAACUCCACCUCGAAGCUUUGCUAUUAGUUUACCGAAGGUCAUUAUGAGAAAUAGCCCCAAGGAACUUGUUGCAGUUACUAGAUGGAUGUCGUUAAGGAGUCAUUCUCUACAUCAGGCAGUGUUGUUUCAGUGAGGAUGCAUGAGAAAAAAAUUCCUUUGACUCUCAGUGCCAGGAAAAAGUCUGAUUUUUUUUUCAAAUCAACUGAUAGUUUAAAAAAAAACUUCAGGAUGCCAUUAAUCACGAAUCUGUUCUCUUCGAGCCAACUGCUAAGGUACUUAGGGUCCUGUUUGUGACCCACGUCUUGUAAAAGUGUAGGAUUCACGGCAUAUAAAAUAGAAAUACCCUUCAGUCAGUCAUCGUUUGUGUCCGCCGUUAUUUUUAUCUUAUGCGGUUUCCCAACCGCUCUGCAUUGAUCGCAUAGUGUUAUGAGCCUGUACAUCAGUGUCUGCACUGUGCCUCCUUGUUGAUUAGUGGAUGGUGAAAGGCAGCGAUGAGAGGGGGAAGGAACAACAAAAGGGGGGACCUGGGAGGGUACCAGACUUUUUAAAGACAGCCUAACCCAGUCGUUUAGCCUGGACUGCCACUAGGUGUCUUUUCUGGUACAGCAGAAGCCACGGACUGUGUUGCUUCUAAACAUUUGCAGGCUCUCGAAGAGACUCCAUCCCUUUGGGAACAUAAGCCCUGGAGUUGAGAGCACCCACAGGAUUCACGCUUCUCUGACUCUGGGUUCUCUUUAGGGCUUUACCAGAUGGAAAACUAGCACCUCAGAGCCAGUGAGGUGGUGAGCUAACAGGCUUUAUCGACAGAUGGAGGACCCCAAGUGUGAAUGAAAACAGCUUCAGCUUGAAAAGAAAAGAAAUCCGAAUCCAAUCCAUGGGAGCAAAUACCCAUAUCAAACCAAUUAUCUGAAGGAAUUGGUCCAAUGGCUGCCUUAGUGACUCCACGUAAGAGAUACCUGUCCACUAUUUUGUUAAUGCUUUUGAGUAGGUUGUACUGAGUUGAGAAAGAAUGACGUUUUCCUCUUUUGAAUGUGAACCUAAUGUAGGGAAGAGCUCCCUUUUUGAUGGUUACUGACAGUGUGGGGCAAACGAAACGCUAGGCUAACAAUUUCACUGUACAUUGUUUGGAAAACCUUAGGUAUAAGGCCUCCACUCAUGACUUAUCUGAUUGUGAAGAAGGAAAUAUGUGAUAAUUGGAUCACACAGACGGGUCAUUGUUCUGUGAUUCAGGAAUAGAGCUGAAGUUAUCAAGUGCUCAUCUCAAGAAGUUUCCAGGUUAACCUCUUUACCGUACUCCUAUUUAAAAUUUUCUUAGCUCCAAAAAUACCAACAUUUAUGCAGAGAGGUUGCUUCUAGUACUUGGCUUAGUUCUUGUUGUUAAAUAAUUUUUAUAGAUUAAUUUUGGGACCUAUUUUUCAUCAUUAUGCAAAUCUCAUAAAAAUGCAACUUUGGUUAAUAUUUUAUAUCUGUUCUACACAACACAAAGAGAAAGUAUUGACAAAAUUAUUACAGGUAUUUUAACCUUUUCUUACUAAGGUUCUAUUUGUUUCUCAGCUUAAAAAGAAGUCCAGAUAUACACUGACCUCUAUUUCACAUGUUUUUUGGUUUUUUUAGUGUCAUAAAAAUUGGAAAGUAUUUCUUUUGGAGACUCUAACGUGCAAAUGUAAGUGCGCAUCAGAUAAAAUCAUGAAUCUCUACCUAAAUUUAAAGAGUCUCUAGCAUCAACUGAAAUCACCUACAGAAUGCAUAGGUUUUCCCACCCUCGGGUUCAGACAAUCCAAAUUAAUGUUAACCCUGAUUUCAAAUUUGAAAGAAAUUAUACGUCAAACAGAAGGGUAACAUUUAUUUGAAGAUUUUUAAUUCGAAGAACAUGUGUGAUUUAAUUAAAACCUUGACUGUAUCUUUGUUGGCAAUAAUGCUACCGGAAGGCCUUAGAUAGGUCAUAAUUCUUUCCUUAAAAUGGAAUCAAAGUACUCAAAAUUGAUUUUCCUUCCUGCCAUUGGGAAUAGAGAGUCUGUGCAGCAAAGCUGCACAAACAGAGGCCACACAAACAGAGCCACGUCUGAGGCGGCAGAGGAGCUGCACGGCCGUGGGACCCUUCUGCGUGGGUGGGGACACCCUCCGGGCCAUCGCGGUGCCUGGUCCACCAUCUGUCUGGUAAAACAGCUCGGCGUGCUAAGUGGUAUUGACAGGAGAGGGGUCUCUGGCUGACCCUUCCUCAAAGGCUGGCAAACUCAAAGGUCUGCGUCUUCAGGCUGGAACCCGUCAGAUCGCCCGCCUCAGGAUUUCCCUCUCCUUAGGGCGCCUGCCCCGUUCUUCAUGCGAAGAAUGGUUAGUAGCACAGUCCUCUGAUCUAAAAUGAGGAGACUUAGACCCAGUUCCGCAAAUGUGGUGAUGCAGAAGUGCCUUCUGUUUGUGGCUGAAAUUUACCAGCUACCAGAGGGACAUCUGGUCAGCAGCGGAGGCUGCCAGGGGGUGGUUCUGGUGAUGACUGCCAAGUUGGAAGGGUGCGGAGGUAAGCGGCAAGCCGAAUGCCCUCACGUCCGGCCGCUCACCUGCACAGCAAUGCACGGACAGUUUGAUUUCUAGAGCCAGCUAGGUUGGAGUGGCUGGGAACAGACGCGGAAUUUCAGGUUUUCAGAGGAGGUGCUCUUUUCUUGACAAUAACCUGUGAUUUCCCCCGUUUUUAAACAAACAGCUUUAUUGAGGUAUAAUUUAUACGCCAUAAAAUUCACCCAUUUUAAGUAUAGAAUCCAAUGACUGAAACACUGUCACCUGUCACUUUUGACCUAAGUAAGCAAUCCUCUCCAUUUUGACAGUGUUUGAGAAUAUGUUGUAGUUAGAAUUGUGUUAUUCUAGUUUCUAUUUGCUUUUUAAACUAUUAACAAACACUCAGGGCAGUUUUAUAUAAUGAUUGAAGAUGAUACAAACAGGAACUUAGGUCUAAUCCUUGCAGAAAAGCUGGUUCAGGAAUAUUAUCCUCAAAUCUUUACUUCUAAACUUCAUAGAUAGUUCUCAUUUUCCUUGGCGUGACAAAAUAUGUGCAGUUUAUUUGGUGCCAUGAUUUGGAGUGUUCGUUGUAUUCCUUGUUUCCACAGAACAGUAAAUCAGUUCAUCAUAUAUGUAUAAGAUAGAAGCUGUAUUGCCAGUCGAAGGUCUAUGUGGGGUUCGCACGUUAAAAACAUCUUUUUAAAGGCUCUGCAGGAUUCCAGUUUAUAAAGUCUGUAUCCUAGGCAACUUCAAAGCUUUCUAAGGAAUAUGCCAAGUAGACAGCUGCUGUAGCUACCAUCAAAGAACAAAUCUUUUUCACCUUGGCAUCUGGGUUUCCCAUUUGUUAGCCAAAAGAAGCACAAUUUCGGUAUUGUCUCUAGCCUUACAAUAAAUACCAGUGGCUAAAGCCGUUGGUGAAGAGCAGUUGUUUGUUAAAUGUCAUAAAGGCUUGUUAUUUGGCAGCUAAAAUCAGUUUUCUGAGUAAAACAAAUUAUGAUAAUUUAUAUCAUUGAACUGAGAUUUUACGUGCGUUUCUUUCUCUUCUUCGUAUAGCCCACUAAACCUCUGAUUGGAAGGUAUGCUUUAAUUUAAACAUUAUUGUUACCUAAAAGUUGAAAUAAAUCAUGGAGUGAGAUUCUGAGGUCAACUUGGAUGGUCAUACUUUGAAUAAAAUUAAUUUAUGGAGACUCAAUAUAACGCAGAGAAAGUGAGGACAUUUAUUAAGGACAUUAUAAAAGACGCAUGUCAAUUUUCCUUUAAAAACUCUUCUAGACUACUCUGAUGUAUAUUAGCGCAAGAUACCGAGAAAACAGAGCUGGAGACAAGGCUGACGAGCUACUGGGAGUGCAACCUCAUACAAGAGGAGUGAAGAAAAAGGGAAAGGAGAGUGGGAGGGAGGGAGGAAAUACAAAUCAUUAGUCAACGAGUUGACUAAAGAUUCACAAAAGACACGCCAGCUGUUCAGUCAUGAGGGUGUAUCCUGAGUUGAUUUCUGCAAUCUCUGUGCCUUAGAAUAAGAUGAAAAGAAGAAAAAGAAUGGCUUUGUUCGCUUCUACUUGUUCCCCUAUUUGCAGUGCCCUUCUCUCUUGGUCAAAUUGAUGCCAUGGACACUUAGGUCAUUAUACCCCAGGUUGUGUCACCUGGCCAUGUGGCAUCUGCUGGGGAAAUCCAGGUCAUUGUAGAAUGGUCUCACUGAGUUGGCUGGGAGCAGGUAAACGUGCUGCACUUUCUCCCGUAACAGGGGUCAGAGAGGUGUGCCUCAGUCCAGACCCCACUCCGGGGAAAAUUGAGAGAGCUGUGUUAAUUUAAAGGUGACAGUGGCUGCUGCUGGGAUUCCGUUGGUCACACAAGACCUGGGAGUGAGUUACUGUGAAAUGAAUCCAGGGAUUCUUAUAGCUGGAUUCAGUGUGGAGUGUCAUUCACUUUAGAGAAAUGCAAUUCGUAUGCAUCAGUAACAUUGCACAAACCUAACUCUUCUGGUUGUCUACUGUGUCUUGAGUGAGAAAUAGCCAGAAGUACCAAGACAUUGAUCCAUGUGCAUUGCUGAUGUGUGCACCAUAUGAACUGGGUCUUGAAAGGCACAGGAAAGACUUCCUUGGUGACAAGGAAUUCUGAUGGACUUCUUGGAAUGGGCACAAACGAGGAUGAUAUUUGUUUCUAGUGUUAAUAUCCACCGAAGGGCAUCCAUGUUAACCGUCAGCUGGACAAGGUGACAUGUUCCAUAGUGAGCAGUCAGCCUCCUUCUCCAGCUGCUCUACUGCUUAUUUAAUGGGCCCAUGAACAAAGUAUCCAUGAUAUCAGAGAUGGAGGCCAUGCAUGGGCUCAGUGCCGUGGGGCCCCCUUACCAAGGCUGACCUGGUUAAUGCAUCUGGCUGAGUACCUAACCCUCUGAUAGCAGAGACCAGUCCUGAGCUCUUAGUAUGGUACCAUUUUGCAUGGUUACCAGCUAGACUCUUGGUGGCAGAUUAAUUACACUGGCUGGCUUCCAUCAUGAGGAGGGCAAAGAUUUGUCUCUUGGAAUAUACAUGUUUUAGAAACAGCUUUGCCUUUCCUGCCUGUAAAGUUUUCUGCCAGCACUGGACUGGAUAUUGACUUAUCCUCUUCAAGGCAUUACGUACAGGAUUGUGUCUGAGCAAAGGAAAUGCACCAAAGGGGUUAGCUGAUGGAAUUAACUGACUUCACUGUACCAAUCAGUUAUGCAUCUGGAAA
rnacentral:lncRNA from 1 species